UACAGAGGGGGCGAGCGUUGUUCGGAAUUACUGGGCGUAAAGGGCGCGUAGGCGGCCUUCUAAGUCAGACGUGAAAUCCCCGGGCUUAACUCGGGAACUGCGUCUGAUACUGGAAAGCUUGAGUUCGGGAGAGGAAUGUGGAAUUCCAGGUGUAGCGGUGAAAUGCGUAGAUAUCUGGAGGAACACCGGUGGCGAAGGCGGCAUUCUGGACCGAAACUGACGCUGAGGCGCGAAAGCCAGGGGAGCAAACGGG
rnacentral:rRNA from 1 species